rnacentral:lncRNA from 1 species
GGGAGCAUAAUAAGCCUUUAUGAGGCCAAAGCGGAUUCAGCUUCCAAUAACACUGGGGAGUCUGGGAGAAGUGGGGGCCAAGGUGGCCGCACAGGGCUGCUCAGCGGGGAAGGCCCUUCUCACAGAUCUGAGGGGGGCGCCUGGGGGCUGCUGCGGCCCCCACAGUCCCCACGGCUCCGCGUGAGGAAGGGGCCUCGUAAGGGCUGCCCGAAGCCUGCCCAUCCCGAACCAGUCCAAGCCACAGGGUGGAGAAGAGCGAACAGCCAGAAGCCAGAGAACAGCCAAGAAAGUCUCCUUUAUGUGCAGGCCAACCCCAACCCGCAGACUCGAAAUAAUAAAGUGAAGCUGUGGUUGCACCCCAGAUUCUGCAGACGCAGCCCAGAGACGCCACUGCUCCCGGGGGCCUUCUGCGACUUGGGGCGUCCCCCUAAAGCCCCGGCCCUGUCGGUGUGCGUUGUCACAGAGGUGGGGAGGGGGCUGCCCACCCGCCCCAGGAUCCUGUGCGCCCGCCAGCCACGUGGAAGAAAGAGAAGAGCUGGAGCCUCAGGAAGGAGCUAUUUGGGGGGAGUCGGGCCCCCAUUUUCCCAUUUAGACUGUGUCCAGUUCCCCAGGAGAAUAGAGGUGAGGGCCGGGCAAGGCAGGUGGCCUCUGGUGACCUUUGGUGGUGGGGGUUCAAAGGGGCAGACUGGAGUUCUCGUUGAUUCCUGCAAAGAGGGGGCCGGGGCUGUGCAGAGCGGGUGUGCAGCCUACUGUCCUUGGCAGCCGCAGGGCCACACACCGCCUCUGGCUCGCCUGGUGGGGGGGGGGUACUUGUACUCAGUCAACCUCACUGGGGAGCAGCGUCCUAUCCAAUUACAGCCUGACGAGCCUCGGAGCCUCGGGAGAGCUGCCCAAGCCGUUCUGUUCCAACCGCAGGCCAGCUCACCGGGGAUUCUGGCUUUGCUCUGCAAGCUGGUGGGAGGGGCCCCGAGGGGUGGCCGGGGCUGGCACAGGCCAGCUCAGGAGCGUGAGGUCAACCCCGUCCUCUGGAUCCAUCAACAGUCUCCCCAGCAUACAAACCCGCCCCCGGCCCCCUGCCAGGCCCCAGUGAGCACACACAGAGCGCAGGAGAGGCGACAAGUGCUCUUGGGGUGUGGGGGGGUGGGAUUGGGGGCUCUGAGGCUGGGCUGGCAUGGCCGGGGAUGGCCACAGCUGCAGAGUCAAGCCCAGUCAAGGUUAGCAGCAAGGCGUCUGAGAGCAGGCAGACCUGGGCAAAGAUGA